CUACGGGUCGCUCCAGUGAGGAAUAUUGCACAAUGGGGGGAGCCCUGAUGCAGCAACGCCGCGUGGAGGAUGACGCAUUUCGGUGUGUAUACUCCUUUUAUAUGUCAAGAAAAUGACGGUAGCAUAUGAAUAAGCACCGGCUAACUCCGUGCCAGCAGCCGCGGUAAUACGGAGGGUGCAAGCGUUACUCGGAAUCACUGGGCGUAAAGGACGCGUAGGCGGGUUGGAAAGUCAGGUGUGAAAUCCUACAGCUUAACUGUAGAACUGCACUUGAAACUUCUAAUCUAGAGUAUGGGAGGGGGAGAUGGAAUUAGUGGUGUAGGGGUAAAAUCCGUAGAUAUCACUAGGAAUACCUAAAGCGAAGGCGAUCUCCUGGAACAUUACUGACGCUAAGGCGUGAAAGCGUGGGGAGCAAACAGGAUUAGAUACCCGAGUAGUC
rnacentral:rRNA from 1 species